CUGAAGGCAAUUUUGUCGCUGGGAAAUCUGUUGUGAGUCGAGUCUUUGCUUUGGUGGUUUGGGCAAUAGGCUGAAAAAAUGGGCCAUUAUUAGCGUGUAGCAUGGGCUUUAGUUCGAUUGUUGUGAAUCUGAUUCAAUGCUUCUAAUCUGAUCUUUAAAUGUUGCAAUGCAAGUUGCUGAAGAAAUUUAAUUUGUGUCUCUGGUCUCUCUAUUGCUGUUUCUAGCGUAUACUAAGGAAUGCCAGUGAGGCUGCCCACAAGCUGGCCUGGGGUGCUGCAUUGUUUUACAUUUCUUCUGUUUGAAUUU